rnacentral:rRNA from 1 species
AAUCUUCUGCAAUGGACGAAAGUCUGACGGAGCAACGCCGCGUGAGUGAUGAAGGUUNNNGGACCNUAAAACUCUGUUGUUAGNGAANAACAAGUAUCGGUGUCAUUGCCGGUACCUUCACGGUACCUCACGUGAAAGCCACCGCUAACUACGCGCCAGCCGCCGCGGUACUACGUAGGUGGCACGCGUUGUCCGGAUUUAUUGGGCGUAAAGCAAGGGCAGGCGGUCGUUUAAGUAGGAUGUAGAAUAUUGCAGGUUAACUGUAAGCGGUCAUUGGAAACUGGGAGACUGGAGUGCAGAAGGGGAGGGUGGAAUUCCAUGUGUAGCGGUGAAAUGCGUAGAGAUAUGGGGGAACACCAGUGGCGAAGGCGGCUCUCUGGUCUAUAACUGACGCUGAGGCGCGAAAGCGUGGGGGUCAAACA